rnacentral:rRNA from 1 species
GACGAACGCUGGCGGCAGGCUUAACCCAUGCAAGUCGAACGAGUGGCGGACGGGUGAGUAAUGCUUGGGAAUCUGGCUUAUGGAGGGGGAUAACUACGGGCAACUGUAGCUAAUACCGCGUACCAUAGGAUGAGCCCACGUGGGAUUAGGUAGUUGGUGAGGUAACGGCUCACAAAGCCGACGAUCUCUAGCUGGUCUGAGAGGAUGACCAGCCACACGGGGACUGAGACACGGCCCAGACUCCUACGGGAGGCAGCAGUGGGGAAGAUUGCGCAAUGGGGGCAACCUGACGCAGCCAUGCCGCGUGAAUGAAGAAGGCCUUCGGGUUGGAAAGUUCUGUCGGUAGCGAGGCGUUAACUACAGAAGAAGCACCGGCUAACUCCGUGCCAGCAGCCGCGGUAAUUC